AAAUUUAAUUUACACAAACAUGUUGAUGAAAUUUAUAUAUAUGUAUUCGAAUAUUUAAUAUAUAUUGAAAAGUAAGUAAAAGAGAGAUGUGUACAUCCAAAUCUAAAUCUAACUCUGACUUGUGACUUGUGACUGGCAAAGAUGAUUUGAAUUAUAUAGUUUGGUUAUGCUGGCUUCUUUCGUUUUCUUGGGCACCCUUUUCUUCUCUCUCUGGUCCUCUCUAUCUCCUUUUUUAGACUGCAUGGUCCUCAAUCGAAAUCAAUGUGCAUGCAUCUGAUCUGUUAACUUAUCAUCUUGGGAAACAUGGAAAGCCCCAGCAAAAACUUAUACCCAAAGGAUCUGUCACUUUUCGGGUUCACUUCCAUCCUGGACACUCCCAUGAUCUUCACCCUCUCUCUCUCUGGUCCUGCAACUUAUUAUUCAUCUUCUUUCAAAACCACCCAACAAGAUUUUCUUAAGAUUUUC
rnacentral:lncRNA from 1 species